GAUAGAGGAAAUCAGUUUAAGAACGCCGCGUCCUGUGGCAACGACCGAGUGACCCUCAUCACUGUUGC
rnacentral:sRNA from 1 species